CUUCGUCCGCGCGUCCCGAAAAUUCAACACCGUCGUCUGGAAAAAGAAAACGAAGAAACAAACGAAAAUCAAACGAAGAUUUUUCAUGUGGGCGAGUAGUAGAAACUAGAAAGAAAGACGAGAACAAUUGUUAGUUGGUGACACAGCAAUAAAUAUACACAAUUCGAGAGAGAAACAAAAACAAAAAAAAAAACAAGACGUAACGAGACGAUUAAAGGAGGGUUGCUAUGGCGACGGGGGAGUAAAGAGAUGUUCAAUUAAUUGGUGGAAAGGAGGAAUAGGAGUAGAAAACAAAAUAUGUUUAUAAAAACAAAAGAAAUGUCGCGUUCCGUUCUAGAUGGAAGACGGCCAAUGUUUAUAUAGACGUCGCGGAAUGCGGUGAAAAUGAAAGAAAACAAGGGGACGAGCGCAUGCGAGAAAAGGAGGAGUAGCGACGAGAUGAGAAGAAUGGAACUGUAACACACACGAUGUGUGUUUAACCGAAAUAUCUCUACUGCCCACGGGUGAUGAUAAAAAGCUGCCACUAAUGAUGAUACAGACUGAUCAUCGAACGCAAAUCGUUCUAUUUCUGUUACGCCAUCUAUCGGUAAAUAUUGAUCGAAACGCAAUUACAUCACAUGCAAUUAAUCAAAAAGUUAACUUUGCGUUUCAGAUGUCAUCUUUGAAAACGUUCGCACGACCAUUCUCUUCGGAUAUGAAUUAAUUGGGAGGGUUGUAAACCUGGACGGUCGUGCAUCUGGGCGGAUGAUGUUGAUGUGAGCAUCUUCACGCUCGACGAUGCAAUAUUAAUUGGUGGAUGAAGAGAUGAAGGAGGAGGAGGAGGGAUCGACGUCCACCCCCCUCCGCAUACCGUCACUCAAUCAUACGACAUGUAAAGGUAAUGCGGCGGUCGAAGGGGAGGCGGCAACGGCGCGCACGCGUACCAACUCAACCCCCUUUUACAUAGUCGACGCGAACGGGCGGCAAUGAUGAUGGUGAUUAUGAUGAUGGUUACACGAAUGAAGGAACGUACAUGCAAUUGGUAAUUCUGAAUUUUAAAUGGGACAACAACAACAACAGAAGAAAGAAAUAAAAGCGAGUCGAAAUUUGGAAAGUGACGCAUAACGAUGAUCGAUUUUAAUUAAUCGUUUUCGUGCUGCUGCAACCACCGAUUUUCAAUGUGUUUCUUUUAUAAAUUUUGGUGGAAAUGAGGUAAUUGUUGCGAAAUGCGAUUCGGUUGGUGCAACUUAAUUGAAGCGGAACAACAAGGAUGUUGGAAACAAUGCGGAAACAAAAGCGAGUCGGUAUUUUCGUUGACAAUUAUCCUUGAUGGUAAUAAUAACUUUUAGUGUUUGUUUUGUGUGCGUGUGUGUGUGUGAACAUUCGAUGAGAACUGGAAGAUAUUUUCGCGACGUGAUGCUGUGUAAGUAAAUAUUUGUAUUUGCUAUUUUGUUUAGUUUAGGGAAAAAAAAAUUAUAAUUCUUAGGCAAAUUUUGACAUAUGCGGGAUUUUCUGAUUGGUUCGUCGGAAAACAAGUGAAAAUGCAGCGGGCAUAAUGUCAGGGGGUGAAAGAGAGAGAGAGAGAGAGAGUAGAAGCACAUACAACACACAAAAUCGAUGUGUGUGCGACAUACACACAUAUACAGAGAGAAGCGCGCCGGUCGAUGCGCCCCUCCGUCUCCGUCCUUCUCGCACUCGCGCGGACGAUGGACGGGCGUGCGCGACGGUAUAAAAUGGUUCCAGUACGAUAUGUAUGUGUACAAACUCGCAUGCAUGUAUUCCAAGAAAACAAUCUAUCAAUCUCUAUUUUUCUUUUCUUUUUUUCUCUCUCUCUCUCUCUGCGCAUUUAUGAUUUCAUUUGUAAUCGAGUCUAAUUGGAA